GUAGGGAAUAUUGGACAAUGGGGGGAACCCUGAUCCAGCCAUGCCGCGUGGAGGAAGACUGCCCUCUGGGUUGUAAACUCCUUUUAUAUGGGAAGAACCGUCCUCAUUAAUGAGUGACCUGACGGUACCAUAGGAAUAAGCACCGGCUAACUCCGUGCCAGCAGCCGCGGUAAUACGGAGGGUGCAAGCGUUAUCCGGAUUCACUGGGUUUAAAGGGUGCGUAGGCGGAUAAAUAAGUCAGUGGUGAAAUCAACGGGCUCAACCUGUUAACUGCCAUUGAUACUGUGUAUCUUGAAUAUGAGAGAGGUAGGCGGAAUGUUGCAUGUAGCGGUGAAAUGCUUAGAUAUGCUACGGAACACCAAUUGCGAAGGCAGCUUACUAUUUCGUAAUUGACGCUGAGGCACGAAAGCGUGGGUAGCGAACAGGAUUAGAUACCCCGGUAGUCC
rnacentral:rRNA from 1 species